AGAGUUUGAUCCUGGCUCAGGAUGAACGUUGGCGGCGUGCCUAAUACAUGCAAGUCGAACGGUAGUUGAGCAGUCGUGCUUGAUGAGAGUGGCGAACGGGUGAGUAACACGUAACUGAUCUGCCCUUUAGACUGGGAUAACCUUUGGAAACAGAGGCUAAUACCGGAUGAGCUCGCGGUAGUUAGAGAGCCGUGAGGAAAGGCUAAUGCGCUAAGGGAUGAGGUUGCGGGCCAUCAGCUGGUUGGUGAGGUAAAGGCUUACCAAGGCGAUGACGGUUAGGGGACCUGAGAGGGUGGCCCCCCACACUGGGACUGAGACACGGCCCAGACUCCUACGGGAGGCAGCAGUAAGGGAUAUUGCACAAUGGACGGAAGUCUGAUGCAGCGACGCCGCGUGGGUGAAGAAGGUUUUCGGAUCGUAAAGCCCUUUUCUAUGUGACGAGAGAGGACGGUAGCAUAGGAAUAAGUGUCGGCUAACUACGUGCCAGCAGCCGCGGUAAAACGUAGGACGCGAACGUUAUCCGGAGUUACUGGGCGUAAAGCGCGCGUAGGCGGUUGGUUAANUUACCUAUGAAANAUACAGGCUAAACUUGUAUUGGUUAGGUGAAACUGGUC
rnacentral:rRNA from 1 species